rnacentral:rRNA from 1 species
ACAACGGAGAGUUUGAUCCUGGCUCAGGAUGAACGCUGGCGGCGUGCUUAACACAUGCAAGUCGAACGAACCUUCGGGUUAGUGGCGGACGGGUGAGUAACGCGUGGGUAACCUGCCUCAUACAGGGGGAUAACAGUUGGAAACGGCUGC